rnacentral:rRNA from 1 species
UGGGGAAUUUUGGACAAUGGGCGAAAGCCUGAUCCAGCAAUGCCGCGUGUGUGAAGAAGGCCUUCGGGUUGUAAAGCACUUUUGUCCGGAAAGAAAUCCUUGGCUCUAAUACAGUCGGGGGAUGACGGUACCGGAAGAAUAAGCACCGGCUAACUACGUGCCAGCAGCCGCGGUAAUACGUAGGGUGCAAGCGUUAAUCGGAAUUACUGGGCGUAAAGCGUGCGCAGGCGGUUUGCUAAGACCGAUGUGAAAUCCCCGGGCUCAACCUGGGAACUGCAUUGGUGACUGGCAGGCUAGAGUAUGGCAGAGGGGGGUAGAAUUCCACGUGUAGCAGUGAAAUGCGUAGAGAUGUGGAGGAAUACCGAUGGCGAAGGCAGCCCCCUGGGCCAAUACUGACGCUCAUGCGCGAAAGGCGUGGGGAGCAAACAGGAUUAGAUACCCUGGGUAGUCCACGCCCUAAACGAUGUCAACU